GAUGGGGACACCGAACCCGAAAUAUUAUUUAUGCACGCGAAUGAUCAUAGACGAUGGAGGAUAGCCCAAACAAUUGAGAGAUUGGGCUUUAACUUAUGUUUUUGGGUUUAAUUUAUAUGAACUUUUAGUUAAGGUUUAUUAAUUUGGUUUUAUUUGUUGGGUUUGAUUUAAUUAUUGUUGGAUAUUUUAUUUAGUGGGCUAUAAGCCCAAACGCUUGUUCUAGUUAGGGUUUUAGUAUUUAUAUCCCACUUUUCUAAAUGUUAA
rnacentral:lncRNA from 1 species